CAGUAGCCGCGGUAACACGGAGGGUGCAAGCGUUACUCGGAAUCACUGGGCGUAAAGGACGCGUAGGCGGAUUAUCAAGUCUCUUGUGAAAUCUAACGGCUUAACCGUUAAACUGCUUGGGAAACUGAUAAUCUAGAGUAAGGGAGAGGCAGAUGGAAUUCUUGGUGUAGGGGUAAAAUCCGUAGAUAUCAAGAAGAAUACCUAUUGCGAAGGCGAUCUGCUGGAACUUAACUGACGCUAAUGCGUGAAAGCGUGGGGAGCAAACAGGAUUAGAUACCCGGGUAGUCCCUGUCUCUUAUAC
rnacentral:rRNA from 1 species